rnacentral:rRNA from 1 species
CAGUCGCCACGGUAAUACAGAGGUCUCAAGCGUUGUUCGGAUUCAUUGGGCGUAAAGGGUGCGUAGGUGGCGGUGUAAGUCUAACGUGAAAUCUCGGGGCUCAACCUCGAAAUUGCGUCGGAUACUGCAUUGCUAGAGGAUUGUAGAGGAGAGUGGAAUUCAUGGUGUAGCAGUGAAAUGCGUAGAGAUCUGGAGGAAUACCGGUGGCGAAGGCGGCCCCCUGGACAAAGACUGACGCUCAGGUGCGAAAGCGUGGGGAGCAAACAGGAUUAGAUACCCGCGUAGUCCCUGUCUCUUAUAC